UAACAUAAUUUGAUGAUACAAAAAAAUCAUGGUUGUCUUCAGUGACACAUGGAGAGGAGGGGGGUGUGGAAUCAUUACUGAAGUGAAACUGAUCAAGCCUGGUGUAUCUCACUACUGUCACAGGGAACGCUCGGAUCAGAACCAGGACCAAGCAGCAGGGGGAGUAGAGCUCUCCAGCCAAACACAGCAACCUGAUUCUGAAGACAUUGUUUACAGUGUGAUUGACACCAGCAAACACAACAAUACAAAGAAAGUCAAACCUGCUGAGACUGACACUGUGUACUCAGCUGUGAAAAUAAGUGCAGGUAA